rnacentral:rRNA from 1 species
CUCGCCCAUCCGUUCGCGGAGUGCACGGGAGGGCAACAAGCACCCCAAGAAACCAAAACGACUCUCGGCAACGGAUAUCUCGGCUCUCGCAUCGAUGAAGAACGUAGCGAACUGCGAUACUUGGUGUGAAUUGCAGAAUCCCGUGAACCAUCGAGUCUUUGAACG